AUUGAACGCUGGCGGCAGGCCUAACACAUGCAAGUCGAGCGGAUGAAGGGAGCUUGCUCCUUGAUUCAGCUGCGGACUGGUGGGUAAUUCCUAGGAAUCUGCCUGUUUGUUUUUUAUAACGGCCUGAAGCGGGCGCUAAUACGGCAUACGUCCAGAGGGCGUAAGUGUGGGAUCUUCGGACCUCACGCUAUCAGAUGAUCCGAGGUCGGAUUAGCUAGUUGGUGGGGUAAAGGCCUACCAAGGCGACGAUCCGUAACUGGUCUGAGAGGAUGAUCAGCCACACUGGAACUGAGACACGGUCCAGACUCCUACGGGAGGCAGCAGUGGGGAAUAUUGGACAAUGGGCGCAAGCCUGAUCCAGCCAUACCGCGUGUGUGAAGAAGGUCUUCGGAUUGUAAAGCCCUUUUAGUUGGAAGGAAGGGCAGUAAGUUAAUACCUUGCUGUUUUGACGUUACCCAAAGAAUAAGCACCGGCUAACUUCGUG
rnacentral:rRNA from 1 species